UUUAGACAAACGCUGUAAUCUUUAAGAUUAUUGAGGAAAGUCCAUGCUCACACAAACUGCGAUGUUUGUAGUGUUCGUGCUUAGGGAAAAAAUAACCUAAGGUAGUUUAUACUAACGACAUUAAUAAAUCUAAGUCUUAGGAUAUGAUUUAUUAUAUAAAGUGCCACAGAGACGAGCUUUUGAGAAAUUAAAAGAUGAAACGAGGUAAACUCCGCGAGUGAGAAACCCAAAUAUGGUAGGGGAGCUUUAACUAGGAAAUAUGAACCGAUGUUAGGGAAUGAGAAAUCAUUAGAUAAAUGUUUGUCACCUAUAUGGUACAAAACAUGGCUUAUU
rnacentral:RNase_P_RNA from 1 species